UACGAAGGGGGCUAGCGUUGUUCAGAAUUACUGGGCGUAAAGCGCACGUAGGCGGGCAUUUAAGUCAGGGGUGAAAUCCCAGAGCUCAACUCUGGAACUGCCUUUGAUACUGGGUGUCUUGAGUAUGGAAGAGGUAAGUGGAAUUCCGAGUGUAGAGGUGAAAUUCGUAGAUAUUCGGAGGAACACCAGUGGCGAAGGCGGCUUACUGGUCCAUUACUGACGCUGAGGUGCGAAAGCGUGGGGAGCAAAC
rnacentral:rRNA from 1 species